rnacentral:rRNA from 1 species
AGUGGCGGACGGGUGAGUAACGCGUGGGUAACCUGCCUCAUACAGGGGGAUAACAGUUAGAAAUGACUGCUAAUACCGCAUAAGCGCACGGUUUCGCAUGGAACAGUGUGAAAAACUCCGGUGGUAUGGGAUGGACCCGCGUCUGAUUAGCUGGUUGGCGGGGUAACGGCCCACCAAGGCGACGAUCAGUAGCCGGCCUGAGAGGGUGAACGGCCACAUUGGGACUGAGACACGGCCCAAACUCCUACGGAAGGCAGCAG